AACGAACGCUGGCGGCAUGCCUAACACAUGCAAGUCGAACGAGACCUUCGGGUCUAGUGGCGCACGUGUGCGUAACGCGUGGGAACCUGCCCUUAGGUUCGGAAUAACUCCCCGAAAGGGGUGCUAAUACCGGAUAAUGUCUUCGGACCAAAGAUUUAUCGCCUUUGGAUGGGCCCGCGUUGGAUUAGCUAGUUGGUAGUGUAAAAGCCUACCAAGGAGACGAUCCAUAGCUGGUCGGUGAGGAUGACAAGCUAGACUGGGAAUGAGACACGGCCCAGCCUGCGAGGGAGGGGAGGAGUAGGGAAUAUAGGAGGAGGAGGGAAAGCGCGGUACAGCAACGUCGGGGAAGAGAUGAAGGGGUUUGGGUUGCAAAGUCCUUUUUGCCGGGAUGAGAAUGACAGUAACGGGAGAAUAAGCUCCGGCUAACUCCGUG
rnacentral:rRNA from 1 species